UCUAUUCCAAUCCUUAGUUUAAUGUCAAUAACACUAAUUGUUUGCUAUGCACGUGUAUAUUCGUAUAAUCAUCAUUAUUGUCUGUUUGUGAUUGUUUGAUUUUCUGGAAAUAUGUUCAUUUUCCAUGCUAUGUUAUGUAUGUCCAAUACCAUGUAAAAGUGCAAAUUUCCAUAUAUAUAUUCAUUUGGACAAUAAAUACUAUCUUAGAACCUUAUGAACUCUAAUAUGUCCAUCGGGAUUUGACGGACAUUUUCAAUCAUUUGUAAACGUUUAAUAAAGCGUCUGCGAUGUGGAUGUUCAAGACGUAUCUGUUGAUCAAUAUAAUUAAUCAGGUCAGGAUCAAUGUCUGCAGACGAUAUGCUCAACUCUUCGCAUUCUAUUACGAUAAUUGAACUUUGUUUUGUUUUCACAUGGUUACAUGAUAAUAAAAUUGAAUAGUGCACUUCAACCCGCGCACUACAUGAUAACGGAGUCCAUACCUAGACUAAAAUGUUCUCACUAACAUUGCGAAAUCGUAAAUAUCGGAUGUGGAAACAUGGACAAUAGCCCCCAAAGUGGCUCAACUCUCCCAGAUCUCCCGUCAGAUGAUACAAAUUCGGAUGCUUCUCGGCCACUUCUUCAGAAGGUUAACGAGAAAUUGCAGAGCGAUAUCACCAUGAAGAUGGCACAUCAUUCUCUGAUUCUUGAAGUGCUGGAUACAUGCAAUCAAACCUCAAAAAACUUUCUCUCCGAACAUACUACACCGAGACCAAGGCUGGUAAGUUGGGUUCGUGAUUCAGUUCUGAAAGUGUUAUAUCGUUUCAUGUUUCGAGUCUGCGUUUCGAGUUUCAAGUCAACAGUUCGAUUUUCAAGUCUAAAUUUUUAGUUUCCGUCCGAGGUCCAACAGAUUUGAAAAGCAGA